ACUCCUACGGGAGGCAGCAGUGGGGAAGUAUUGCACAAUGGGCGCAAGCCUGAUGCAGCCAUGCCGCGUGUAUGAAGAAGGCCUUCGGGUUGUAAAGUACUUUCAGCAGUGAGGAAGGUGGGUAUGUUAAUAGCAUAUUCAUUUGACGUUAGCUGCAGAAGAAGCACCGGCUAACUCCGUGCCAGCAGCCGCGGUAAUACGGAGGGUGCGAGCGUUAAUCGGAAUUACUGGGCGUAAAGCGCAUGCAGGUGGUUUGUUAAGUCAGAUGUGAAAGCCCGGGGCUCAACCUCGGAAUUGCAUUUGAAACUGGCAAACUGAGUACUGUAGAGGGGGGUAGAAUUUCAGGUGUAGCGGUGAAAUGCGUAGAGAUCUGAAGGAAUACCGGUGGCGAAGGCGGCCCCCUGGACAGAUACUGACACUCAGAUGCGAAAGCGUGGGGAGCGAAACAGGAUUAGAUACCCCUGGUAGGCGUAG
rnacentral:rRNA from 1 species